rnacentral:rRNA from 1 species
GAUGAACGCUAGCGGCAGGCCUAACACAUGCAAGUCGAGGGAGGAGCUUUCGGGCUUCGACCGGCGUACGGGUGCGUAACGCGUAUACAAUCUGCCUUUCACAUAGGGAUAGCCCGAAGAAAUUUGGAUUAAUACCUAAUAGUAUAUAGAUGUGGCAUCACAUUUAUAUUAAAGCUGAGGCGGUGAAAGAUGAGUAUGCGUUCUAUUAGCUAGUUGGAGAGGUAACAGCUCCCCAAGGCGACGAUAGAUAGGGGUUCUGAGAGGGAUAUCCCCCACACUGGUACUGAGAUACGGACCAGACUCCUACGGGAGGCAGCAGUGAGGAAUAUUAGACAAUGGUCGGAAGACUGAUCCAGCCAUGCCGCGUGCAGGAAGACGGCCUUAUGGGUUGUAAACUGCUUUUGCAGGGGAAGAGUAAGGACUACGUGUAGUUUGAUGACGGUACUCUGCGAAUAAGCAUCGGCUAA